CGAAACUCGGCCCGCUCCGCCAUGACAGACGUUAAAGUCCGUCUAAAAACAGACAUUUAGUAGCCUAAUAUCGGUUUUUCAUAGCUGAUUUAACUUUAAACUGGCUACGAGGUCGGCAGCAUAAACAGACAAGGAUACAAACCAAACUUGUUAUUUUAUUUUCUGAAUUUUAACGAAGAAAGAUGGCGGCGAUGGAUAGCAGAGGUUACACAGGCAGCCGUUAAUCGUUUUGAUUGGCAGCUCUCGGUGUAAUCACACGUUUACAAGGCCCGCUCUGAGGGAUGAGGAGGAUUAUACAUCAGGAGUGUGAUGCUGUUGACACUCCUGUCGCCUUUACAGCACCGACAUGCCAAGGCCUGGACGCCUGCCCAGCCUCACUGCGUCCGAAUGUACAGAGGAGGGGAAAACAGGCAAGUUUGAGAGAUCAUUCUUUUGAAACCUGAGACCUGGUUGAUGGAAAUCCCAGUA